rnacentral:rRNA from 1 species
AGUCGAACGAGAAAGUUCCUUCGGGAGCGAUUAAAGUGGCGCACGGGUGAGUAACGCGUAGACAAUCUGCCCUUCAGUCUGGGACAACUUUUCGAAAGGAGAGCUAAUACCGGAUGACAAUGUAACACAUAAGUGUCACAUUUGAAAGCUCCGGCGCUGAGGGAGGGGUCUGCGUCCCAUUAGCUAGUUGGUAAGGUAAAGGCUUACCAAGGCGACGAUGGGUAGCGGGUUUGAGAGGACGAUCCGCCACACUGGAACUGAGACACGGUCCAGACUCCUACGGGAGGCAGCAGUGGGGGAUAUUGCACAAUGGAGGCAACUCUGAUGCAGCAAUGUCGCGUGAGUGAAGAAGGCCCUUGGGUCGUAAAGCUCUUUUAUGGGGGAAGAUGAUGACGGUACCCCAAGAAUAAGCACCGGCUAACUACGUGCCAGCAGCCGCGGUAAUACGUAGGGUGCGAGCGUUGUUCGGAAUUACUGGGCGUAAAGGGCGCGCAGGCGGAAUAGUAAGUCGGAGGUGAAAGCCCGGGGCUCAACCCCGGAGGGUCUUUCGAAACUGCUAAUCUAGAGAGGGUCAGGGGCCAGCAGAAUUCUUGGUGUAGAGGUGAAAUUCGUAGAUAUCAAGAGGAAUACCGGUGGCGAAAGCGGCUGGCUGGGACCACUCUGACGCUGAGGCGCGAAAGCGUGGGGAGCAAACAGGAUUAGAUACCCUGGUAGUCCACGCCGUAAACGAUGAGCACUGGAUGUCCGGAGGGUUCGACCCUUCUGGG